rnacentral:rRNA from 1 species
CAGUCGCCACGGUAAUACGGAGGGGGCUAGCGUUGUUCGGAAUUACUGGGCGUAAAGCGCACGUAGGCGGCUUGGUAAGUUAGAGGUGAAAGCCCGGAGCUCAACUCCGGAAUUGCCUUUAAGACUGCCGAGCUAGUAGGUGAGAGAGGUAAGUGGAAUUCCGAGUGUAGAGGUGAAAUUCGUAGAUAUUCGGAAGAACACCAGUGGCGAAGGCGGCUUACUGGCUCAUUCUAGACGCUGAGGUGCGAAAGCGUGGGGAGCAAACAGGAUUAGAUACCCGGGUAGUCCCUGUCUCUUAUAC